AUUAGACCACCGUGCUACAUAAUGGAAAUGAAACAUUUAAGGGAUACUGAGUGCUGUGGCCUCACUGCAGAUCAGAAUGUGACAGUGAUACAUACAGACGCAUACCCCAGCUUUUGAACUGGCACAUCUAAUGGUUUGUACUCUCUGUGUGAUGGUUUGGCCCUGACAGCAGACCAGCACCUACCCAGCUGCUCUUCCACCCCCAGCAAAACAGAAGAAAAAAAAUAAGAAGAAUAAGGGAAAACCACUCAAAGAUAAAAAAUAGAAGCAGCUGAAUAUAGGAAGGUAUGUGAUGUAAGGUGCAGUGCAUGGGCUGGAAGGAAAGUGAAGAAGGAAAAGCAUGCAAGCAGUAAUGAAAUGUUCUGAGUUCAAAGUUUUUGGCAACAGACAGUUCCUGAGAUCUGUCAAGGGUCUUUCAUUUUGCAUAAUAGACCCAAAAAUCAUGGAAAGGAGAUUAUGGUCCUGGAGGGACAGGAGUGAAUGACAGAAGAGAUGCUCUAAAAAUGAACUCAGAAGUUCUGAUUGUGCUUGGCGCAAUAAGAAGGGGUGAGGAACUGAGACCAGACUUCGGUGAAGAAAAACAUGUUAUAAAUUCACUAGAUUUGAAUUUGAAGGUUGAAGGUUGUCUUACCUGCAAUAGUGUUUAAAAACU